rnacentral:rRNA from 1 species
AGCAGCCGCGGUAAUUCCAGCUCCAAUAGCGUAUAUUAAAGUUGUUGCAGUUAAAAAGCUCGUAGUUGAAUUUCGGGGUCUGUCCAUUGGUCGGGCUUUACGGUCCGUACUGGUGUGAUAGGCUCCUACCUUCUGAAUAACCAGCAUGCCAUUCAGUUGGUGCGUUGGGGAAGCAGAGCUAUUACCUUGAAAAAACUUAGAGUGCUAAAGCAGGCUAGUGCUUGAAUAGAUUAGCAUGGAAUAAUAAAAUAGGACGGCAUGGUUCUAUUUUGUUGGUUUCUAGGAUCACCGUAAUGAUUAAUAGGGAUAGUUGGGGGGCAUUAGUAUUCAAUUGUCAGAGGUGAAAAUUCUUGGAUUUAUUGAAGACUAACUUCUGCGAAAAGCAUUUGCCAGGAUGUUUUCAUUAAUCAAGAACGAAAGUUAGGGGUAUCGAAGACGAUCAGAUACCGUCGUAGUCUUAACCAUAAAACUAUGCCGACUAGGGGAUCGGAUGAUGUUAAUUUUUUUAAUGACUCAUUCG